rnacentral:rRNA from 1 species
GANCAUUWACAAAAUAUGAAUAACUAAUUCAUAAACCCAUUCUGCGUAUUUGUCCUUGUUGCUUCCGCAAGUCCGGCAACAGCCCUUGCCACUUCUUCCUAGUGGGAAAGCUUGCGGAAGGUUACCGCAACCUCUGUUAUUCUUAUAUUGUCUGAAUCUUUGCUUUAGCAAGUAUUAAAACUUUCAACAACGGAUCUCUUGGUUCUCGCAUCGAUGAAGAGCGCAGCGAAAUGCGAUAAGUAGUGUGAAUUGCAGAAUUCCGUGAAUCAUCGAGUUCUUGAACGCACAUUGCGCCCCUUGGUACUCCAGGGGGCAUGCCUGUUCGAGUGUCAUUAAAACCCUUCAGGAUUGGAUUUGUCCAUGUCCUGGUUUUGAGUUUAGAGCAUUGCAAGCAGUGUUCCAAUUUGAAAUGGAAUGGCGCAAAUGAUUGUCGGUCCUGUGUAAUAAGUUUUAUCCAUCACAGGUCGAUACACCAUUUGCAGCUGGAUCUGGUGGCACUCCAUGCUUAUGACCUCGGAUCANGUAAGGAUACCCGCUGAACUUAAGCAUAUCAAUAAGCGGA